AGGCCGGCCCGCCCGGUGGGGGCUGGAUGGUGGCUCCCGCGGCGGCGGGAGGAUGCUGGCGUGGCAAGGACGGGCGGCCCGUGCCCUGCUUCUGCGCGGGGCGCAGCGCCCGUCCCCGAUGCAGCGCCGGGAGACGGCUCUUCUUUCACCUCCCGCAGCGCGAGAGUCGGCGCGUCCUGCCAGGGAGACCUCUGCGCGGGGUGUAGCCGUGUCGGUCUAGUGGCAAAAGGAAUCGGGACUCGUGGUGAUCUUUUUUUAUUACACCAACUAGGUUUUUGCAAAAGAGGGUUUUUUUGCAACACACACACACACACACACACACACACACACACACACACACACACACACACACCUAUUGCAAAAAAUCCAGUUGGUCGAAUAAAAGAGAUCACCUCUCUCACGCGUCCCGAUCCGGCGGAGAGAGGGGAAACUUCAUCCUCGUGUUCAGUCGUUGACUCCGCACAAAACACGAAGGGGCGAUCCCGGGAGCAGUCCUAGGGGGGCUGUGACACACGGUGACGGACCUUUUUCACUGGGAGACGCUGCCAAACGGCGUGCCUCGGAGCCUGUGUAUUCACGUAGUUGUUUUCCGCACGUAUACCCUUUUCGGUGUGCAAAUGCUGUGUUCACCCAGAAGCACGGGCCGGCCUACGCCACGGACUCACCACAGAGCAGCAAAAGCAGCUGACGUUGAACUGAAGAGCAGAGCAGUGCCAGGGCGGCGCCGGGGCCCGCUUUCUGCUGCUGCUUUUGCAAAAGAACCGAACGCCACCAAGUGAAAGGUACCCUCCACAACUUCUUUAAAUUUGGUGGCAUCCUGCUUGGGAACCACUGAUGUGCUGCUUCAGCUUACCUGAUAAGCUUAAAGUAGGCAGACAUUCUCCUCACGUCACCUUUCUUCCUGAUCCAGCCCCCCCCUGCACCUCUCGGAAACAGACACUCAAGACAGUUCCAUCUGGCAGUGGAGGUGGUGCAGCAGCCUGGAGACAGAUGCCUCUGCUGUGGGACUGAGCCGGGAAGACCUGCAGCAGGAACAGGCACUCUUGCCUGUAUUAAGGUUAUUGGAUAAACCUGGUGGAGGCAGGAGCUCUUGAUUCUGUUGCAGCUGCUUCUAGGCUCAGCUCUGCCGGGCCUCCUGGAAACCAAGGUGCAUGGGAAAGUUUCACCUGGCUGUAGCACUGUGGCAGUGGCUUCUCUCUGUCGGCCAUGGCUAGGUUAAACUUUCCUUUGUGUCUUGAUUUCCAGGAGGAACAUUAGAGCUGAACUGGAAAGCCGCCAUGGUAAGAGCGGGUGUUUCUGCCUGCAUUACAUAGUGCAGGUGGCAGCACCCCUUUGUGCUGCAGUAACUUUCCAGUUUGUCUUCAGUGUGCCUGCUGGAAACUGGUGGGAAAGACUCUCCACGUUGCAGUCAUAGCUGCAUCAUCUUCAUCAUCAGUCUUGGCAUGGUGGCACCGCUUACAGGUUCUUGCAGAACCCUGGGGUGCCAUAGGGCUCCACUUGAGGACCUCUGAGCUAGAUCUUUGCAGGCCUGACAGAAAAGAGUUUGCCUCCCUGUAAUAUAUUGCUGGAUUAGGUAACCAGGUCUUAUCUGGUAAUAAGAGAGGCUUCGUAGAGCUAGCUCUGAUUUCCAUUCUUACGUGACAAAAACUCUUUGUUUAGAAGAGGCAAAACAGUCAUUUUUGGGUGUUCACAUUGCUUGGCAGAGUACUGUGUUGCCCAAAAAGGGCAUACAGUUCAACAUUGGAUCACAAUCUGAACUUGUCUAGCACUAGUAACAGAUCAUAUCUGGUGUUUUGGUGGUUCAGGAAUGGUCCACAUAUACGUUUCCAUUGUAUACGUGAUUGAAGGAUUUUCUUAGGAUCUUCUGACCAAAGAUUGGGAAAAAUUAUUUUUGUUAUAGGCAAACUGGAGCAGAUCAUGUCCUGGGGCAGCUAAGUCAUUCCUACAGCAGCCACCUGAAUCCCACUUUGCUUGACCCAUCUGGCCUCUCAGGGUCCCAUCCUGUUGUCUGGCCUACUAUGGCUUGAUGUUAUAAUUGGACUGGGAGGCUGCUCCUAGAUAUCAGGGGGUUUCACUUCAGAUCCUAGACCUUUGUCUGGGCCAAGGGCCCCCUGACUAUGGCCUUCUUUACUCUGCUUGGGCCUCUCUGCCCAAGGUCUGCUGUCCCCAGGACCUUAGCAAUCAUAGGCUCCAGCUCUAGCCUCGCCCUUCAUGAGCUCUGGGCCCCUCAGACCAGCCUGACCCUUUGUGGGCUCUGGGCCCCUCAGCCCUGGUAGGUUCUGGGCUUGUGCCCUCAGUCUUUUCUGCCACGUGCUACAGUCCUUCAGCUGAUAGCAGUCGUGUUUCCCCGCCCCCCCCAGCACUGCUUGCAGCCUCCAGACUUCUCAGGGCUCUCAACUGGGCCUUGGUCCUCUCAGCCAUAUCCCCCUUAUGCUGCUUGCCUCAUCCUCUUGAAGGGUUUAGGACCCGGGAUGCCCCUGGCACCCUCCUUGGCAGCCUCCUCCUCCCCUACAUUCAUAAUCCAGUCCUUCAGUUCAGACUUCAACACAACAAAAUACACGAGCUGCCGCUCUCGAACAAAAAGUCCACAAAUACACAAGCUGCCACUCUCAAACAAAAGUCCCCUUCCCCCAUCCCUUAAUUCUGGGUCAGUGUCAUAUUUUGGAAAUGAGCUAUGGCCAAAAUACUUGGUUCUGAUGGCUGGUGGUGCAGGGGCUUCUUUGCAGCUCCCCACAUUCUAGAGUCUUUCCUCCUUGGCCAGCCAGGCCCCCUUCUCCCCAAGCCUCAGUCAUGGUCCUGGUUUUAUAAGGUUUCUAACCCACUCUCUGGAUCACCGACUCCAUUGCUUCUGUCCCAGGCCUGUCAAUCACUGACUGCACUGUGCUGGCUGCACCUGGGGUGGGUGGCCAUUUUAUCAAAAGGCCCUCUUCUCCCUGGCUCCUUCUUUCCUUUAAUGACUGGAUAGGGGCCCCGUUAUACACACACAGAGCAUGUCACACAUCACCCUACAUCGCCAUAGUGAUGCUCUACAUCAUUGUAGCGGCAUGCUCCCUCAUUUUAACGUACCACUAUGGCAACCUAGUGGCGAAAUCUAACUGUGCACCACACGCAUGGCGCAGUACAGGCAGUUACUGUGCCAUGCUUUAGUACUUCCAAAAGUAAGUACUAAAGCAUAGCGCUGUAGCAAUGUCUCCAUACCGCGAUGUGUAGCUGCAGCCAUAGGGCGCGUCCACACAUGCAAGCACGUGUACUUGCAGCAGCUCAAAUAGAAGCAAUACAAAUUUGAGCCAGGGCUUUUUGCCUCAGUUUAUGUGUUCGGACAUGCACUUCGUUAUGGAGCAAAUUGUGCCACUUGGGACAAAAUAACCCUACCUGGCUCCUCCUGGAUCUGCAGCCAGAGGGAGCUAGAGCCUGGGGCCAGCACCUGUGCUGUCCCCAGCAGUAUAAAAAGCUGCCCUGUCCUGGCCCCAGCAAUAUAAAAACCUGCCCUGGCCAGCAGUUCAGGGUUACUUGCCCUCAGGAGCUUCUGGGGCCCACCCAGUUGGUAUCUGGGGACACUAGCCCCUUGUGUCAGCUAGACUGCUGAAGCAACAUCCCAAAUUCACUUUUUAAAAUACCCCAAAAUCUACGUUCUUACACAAUUAGAACAAAAGAGAGAGAGCGAGAAAGGGGUAAUGAUCAGAUGGGCAAUGUUUUAUUGCUAUAUUUAAAAUGUUAAAAAAAAUUGAAGCCUACCAGUGUCUUUAGCAUCAUAAUAAAAUAAAUCCUAAAUA